CCCCCCUCAGGAUUGCACCUGGAGAGUUUCCACUACUCGACCAGUCUCGGUUAAAGGAGGGAGAGUCAAGGAGAGGCCUACCCAUUCCAUUCCUAGCUUGGGCAGUGGCUAGCGAGUGGAAGGCAAUCUGCUAUAAGU
rnacentral:snoRNA from 1 species